rnacentral:lncRNA from 1 species
UCCACUUAAUUCAGUAUAAAUAUAUACUCAAAAAAAAUAAUACACCACAUGGUAGUGAGCUCUGUUGAAUCUGACUCCGACGUCCGAAGAUUAUAAGUAAUACAAUUCAUAAUAUAAACUACGACAACUCACACACUUCUUAAAAAAAUGAUACACCACGUGGUAGUGAGCUUUGCUGAACCUGACUCUGUAUAGAAGCACGUCCAAAUAUUAUAAGUAAUACAACUUAUAAUAUAAACAAAGACAAUUCACACACUCUCCCUCUCAUCUCGAUUUCAAAAACCCUUCAAAGAGGUUGGGGUAUAUUUCCACUCACCAUGUGCUCGUGCCUAUAAAGAAUGGUAUGUGAUGAUAAAAGAGAGAAGAAAAUAACGGUAGAAGAAGAAGAAGAAUGAAGAAAGGAAGAAGAUCGACCAAGAAAUAUGUUGGUACCAAGGCCCGUCCAGACGGACCAUGGGUCGAACAUGACCGCACGGCCCAGAAGGCCCAGGGAAGCAUACUAUAAGUACCUCCCUUGGAGCAACAGGGAGAGGGGUCGAUUAUUAGUGAGAGCAAUACUAGAAAGUUGUGUGUGAGCACUUUAACGCGAGCCCACACACCAUCAUUGGUGAACUUGACGUGAAUCAAACACGCAACCGGAGUAGAAGAGAAGAUGGUCGGAAGGAGUGAGUACCAUGUAGGAGAGAGCUCGAGGCACCGUGGAGAGAGGAAACCCCACAACCAGGAGAUCACCCCGGUCACCCGGCGGCCGCUGAAGGAUUUCGAAGAGGACUCGGACAGAACUGAGUCGUACCUCUCGUAUAGGAGGAAGCCUGCGGCCAGGACACUCGAGGCCCGGGAGUAGGCCGAAGCUAAUGAGGAGGCCCGGCGUAAGGAGGAAAGGAAGCGCAGGCGGGGGAGACGGAGCAGGUCCCCGACCCCACCGAGAGAAGGGAACGUCACCGGAAGAAGCAUUCCGAGAACGCGAAGCUCUCAGAGUUGGUCUCCGCCCUACAGGAGCAACUCCCACUACCAGAUUACUGACUUUUAGCGACGACCAGAAACCGUCUCUAAUCAUUAAAAACCGUCGCGAAUUGAUGGAAGAUGCUACUCUAUAUAAAGAGGUAGGUAGGCAUGCAGACAUAUUAUAAUCCUGGAAGAGGUCAACAUCAGACCUUUCAUCAGCAAAAUAAUAAUCCUACAACUCAAACUCAGAUUGUGAUUGCCCAAAGCCAUUACCCAAGACUGAUAAGCCUCUAAUUUUGACAGCCCCACAUUCCACCUUCUCUUAGCUUGAUACUGCAUUUUUCUGCUAAAUCUGUGAUAAAUUAAUGGAUAUUCUAAUGCUUGUCUAAUCUCUGUAAAUUAUAAUGUAAAUUGCUUGCCCAAAAUCCAAAUAAAAUCCAAGUAGGAUCGAUAAUAAACAAAAGAACAGAGAGGAAACUGGAAAAAGAGAUGUGGGUAAGUAACAGGAUGUGAGUGAAGAAAAUAACAGUGGUUGUCAUAGACUCACAAACUCACCGGAGGAUGUCAUUUUGAAAAUAACAGUAAAUUCUUAUCUCAUUUUGAAACUAAAUUCUAUAAAUCAAAGAACAUAAAAAUAAACCAGAGGAUGUCAUAGAACUCACCGGAGGAGGUUUUUUAAUUCACCAAGUCCUCACUGCCCUCACUGCGGAUGAAGAAAUCGAUCGCUGUCCUCACUGCGCCCGCUGGAAGAUGAAGAACUCGUGCUCGCCGGAAGAUGAAGAAGUCGUGGUCGCCGAUGUCGGAAUGGAAUGCAAGAAAUCGGAACGAUUGGGUUUGGGAGAGAUUGAAAAUAGGGAAGUUUAGGGAUUUAGGGAUUUUAGGAAUUUUAGUUGGGGUUUAGAAAUUUAUUUAGGGAUUUAGGAAUUUUAGG